rnacentral:rRNA from 1 species
AGUGAACGCUGGCGGCAGGCCUAACACAUGCAAGUCGAGCGGCAGCGGGUCCUUCGGGCUGCCGGCGCGCGGCGGACGGGUGAGGAAUGCAUCGGAAUCUGCCCUGUCGUGGGGGAUAACCUAGGUAAACUUAGGCUAAUACCGCAUACGACCCACGGGUGAAAGCGGGGGAUCGCAAGACCUCGCGCGAUAGGAUGAGCCGAUGUCCGAUUAGCUAGUUGGCGGGGUAAAGGCCCACCAAGGCGACGAUCGGUAGCUGGUCUGAGAGGAUGAUCAGCCACACUGGGACUGAGACACGGCCCAGACUCCUACGGGAGGCAGCAGUGGGGAAUAUUGGACAAUGGGCGCAAGCCUGAUCCAGCCAUGCCGCGUGAGUGAAGAAGGCCUUCGGGUUGUAAAGCCCUUUUGUCCGGGAAGAAAACGUCUGGGCUAAUACCCCGGGCGGAUGACGGUACCGGAAGAAUAAGCACCGGCUAACUUCGUG